rnacentral:rRNA from 2 species
AGUGGCGAACGGGUGAGUAACACGUGAGUAACCUGCCCCUGACUCUGGGAUAAGCGUUGGAAACGACGUCUAAUACUGGAUAUGAUCACUGGCCGCAUGGUCUGGUGGUGGAAAGAUUUUUUGGUUGGGGAUGGACUCGCGGCCUAUCAGCUUGUUGGUGAGGUAAUGGCUCACCAAGGCGACGACGGGUAGCCGGCCUGAGAGGGUGACCGGCCACACUGGGACUGAGACACGGCCCAGACUCCUACGGGAGGCAGCAGUGGGGAAUAUUGCACAAUGGGCGAAAGCCUGAUGCAGCAACGCCGCGUGAGGGAUGACGGCCUUCGGGUUGUAAACCUCUUUUAGUAGGGAAGAAGCGAAAGUGACGGUACCUGCAGAAAAAGCACCGGCUAACUACGUGCCAGCAGCCGCGGUAAUACGUAGGGUGCAAGCGUUGUCCGGAAUUAUUGGGCGUAAAGAGCUCGUAGGCGGUUUGUCGCGUCUGCUGUGAAAUCCCGAGGCUCAACCUCGGGCUUGCAGUGGGUACGGGCAGACUAGAGUGCGGUAGGGGGAGAUUGGAAUUCCUGGUGUAGCGGUGGAAUGCGCAGAUAUCAGGAGGAACACCGAUGGCGAAGGCAGAUCUCUGGGCCGUAACUGACGCUGAGGAGCGAAAGCAUGGGGAGCGAACAGGAUUAGAUACCCUGGUAGUCCAUGCCGUAAACGUUGGGCGCUAGAUGUAGGGACCUUUCCACGGUUUCUGUGUCGUAGCUAACGCAUUAAGCGCCCCGCCUGGGGAGUACGGCCGCAAGGCUAAAACUCAAAGGAAUUGACGGGGGCCCGCACAAGCGGCGGAGCAUGCGGAUUAAUUCGAUGCAACGCGAAGAACCUUACCAAGGCUUGACAUACACCGGAAACGGCCAGAGAUGGUCGCCCCCUUGUGGUCGGUGUACAGGUGGUGCAUGGUUGUCGUCAGCUCGUGUCGUGAGAUGUUGGGUUAAGUCCCGCAACGAGCGCAACCCUCGUUCUAUGUUGCCAGCGGGUUAUGCCGGGGACUCAUAGGAGACUGCCGGAGUCAACUCGGAGGAAGGUGGGGAUGACGUCAAAUCAUCAUGCCCCUUAUGUCUUGGGCUUCACGCAUGCUACAAUGGCCGGUACAAAGGGCUGCGAUACCGUAAGGUGGAGCGAAUCCCAAAAAGCCGGUCUCAGUUCGGAUUGAGGUCUGCAACUCGACCUCAUGAAGUCGGAGUCGCUAGUAAUCGCAGAUCAGCAACGCUGCGGUGAAUACGUUCCCGGGCCUUGUACACACCGCCCGUCAAGUCAUGAAAGUCGGGACACCCGAAGCCGGUG